rnacentral:sRNA from 1 species
CAAUCUCGUUAAUCCAAAGCUGCAACGCAAUAGUCGCAAACGACGAAAACUACGCACUAGCAGCGUAAGCUGCUAGUCGUCCUGACCGGGUCGCCCGUAGCCCGGAGCUACAUCUCAGGACGUCAUCGCUUACGGGAUGCUCCGUUAUCCAGAGUUCACUGGCUAGCGGCUAAGAUUUAAAGAACUCGCCUCCUGCACCCUGGCCUUCGGGUCGCUUGAGGUUAAAUCAAUAGAAGGACAUAAACAUGUAGAUC